CCUACGGGAGGCAGCAGUGAGGAAUAUUGGUCAAUGGACGCAAGUCUGAACCAGCCAUGCCGCGUGCAGGAAGACGGCUCUAUGAGUUGUAAACUGCUUUUGUACGAGGGUAAACGCAGAUACGUGUAUAUGUCUGAAAGUAUCGUACGAAUAAGGAUCGGCUAACUCCGUGCCAGCAGCCGCGGUAAUACGGAGGAUUCAAGCGUUAUCCGGAUUUAUUGGGUUUAAAGGGUGCGUAGGCGGUUGGAUAAGUUAGUGGUGAAAGCCCGAGGCUCAACUGCGGAAUUGCAGUUGAUACUGGCAGGCUUGAGAGCAGUAGAGGUAGGCGGAAUGUAUGGUGUAGCGGUGAAAUGCUUAGAGAU
rnacentral:rRNA from 1 species